AUUGAACGCUGGCGGCAUGCCUUACACAUGCAAGUCGAACGGCAGCACGGGUGCUUGCACCUGGUGGCGAGUGGCGAACGGGCGAGUAAUGCAUCGGAACGUACCUUAUCGUGGGGGAUAACGCAGCGAAAGCUGUGCUAAUACCGCAUCCGCCCUGAGGGGGAAAGCGGGGGAUCGCAAGACCUCGCGCGAUUAGAGCGGCCGAUGCCUGAUUAGCUUGUUGGUGGGGUAAAAGCCCAACAAGGCGACGAUCAGUAGCUGGUCUGAGAGGACGAUCAGCCACACUGGGACUGAGACACGGCCCAGACUCCUACGGGAGGCAGCAGUGGGGAAUUUUGGACAAUGGGGGCAACCCUGAUCCAGCAAUGCCGCGUGAGUGAAGAAGGCCUUCGGGUUGUAAAGCUCUUUUGUCAGGGAAGAAACACCGGCUCUAACACAGUCCGGGAAUGACGGUACCUGAAGAAUAAGCACCGGCUAACUACGUGCCAGCCGCCGCCGUAA
rnacentral:rRNA from 1 species